rnacentral:rRNA from 1 species
UUCCGGUUGAUCCUGCCGGACCCUACUGCUAUCGGGAUAGGACUAAGACAUGCUAGUCGUGCGCCUCCAAGCCAUGGUGGAGGCGCGGCGCACAGCUCAGUAACACGUGGUUAACCUGCCCUUGGGACGGAAACACCCCCGGGAAACUGGGGCUAAUUUCCGAUAGGUGAAGGCUCCUGGAAUGGAUCUUCGCCUAAAGGGCGCUUAGGCCAUGCUUCUAGGCGCUGCCCAAGGAUGGGGCCGCGGCCGAUCAGGUUGUUGGUGAGGUAAUAGCUCACCAAGCCUUUAACCGGUUCGGGGCCGUGGGAGCGGGAGCCCGGAGAUGGGCACUGAGACAAGGGGCCCAGGGCCUACGGGGCGCAGCCAGUCGCGAAAAACUCCGCAAUACGCGAAGGCGUGACGGGGCUAUCCCGAGUGCCGUCCGCUGAGGAUGGCUUUUCCCUAGUGUAGAUAGCUGGGGGAAUAAGGAGAGGGCAAGUCUGGUGUCAGCCGCCGCGGUAAUACCAGCUCUCCGAGUGGUGGGGACGUUUAUUGGGCCUGAAGCAUCCGUAGCCAGCUGAGCAAGUCCCCAGUUAAAUCCAGCGAUUUAAUCGUUGGACUGCUGGGGAUACUGUCCGGCUAGGGGGUGGGAGAAGCCGACGGUAUUCCCGGGGUAGGGGUGAAAUCCUAUAAUCCCGGGAGGACCACCAGUGGCGAAGGCUGUUGGCUAAAACAUGCCCGACGGUGAGGGAUGAAAGCUGGGGGAGCGAACCGGAUUAGAUACCCGGGUAGUCCCAGCUGUAAACGAUGCAGGCUAGGUGUUAGGGCGGCCACGUGCCGCUCUAGUGCCGCAGGGAAGCUGUUAACCUGCCGCCUGGGGAGUACGCCGCAAGGCUGAAACUUAAAGGAAUUGGCGGGA